rnacentral:rRNA from 1 species
GACGAACGCUGGCGGCGUGCUUAACACAUGCAAGUCGAACGGACAGACCCUGCUUUUGUGGGUUGCUCGUUUGGCGAACGCGUGAGUAACACGUGUGUAUCCUCCCCUUGUCUUUCUGGUAACUUCAGGAGACUGCGGCUCAUACCGCAUAGGAUCUCCUGCUGCAUGGUGGGGGUUGGAGAGUUUCGGCGGUUGUGGCUGGACUCGCGGCUUAUCCGCUUGUUGGUGGGGUAGUGGCUUACCAGGGGUUUGACGGGUAGGCGGCAUGGGCGGGUGACCGGGCACAAGGGGCCUGCGAUACGGCGCAGUCUCGAAUGGGAGGCAGCAGUGGGGAACAUUGCAGAGUGGGCGGAAGCGAGAGGUAGCAACCUCGCGUGCGUGAUGACGGCUUUCGGGGGGUAAACAGCUUUGGCAGGUGACGAAGCGGGAGUGACGGUAACGGGUAAAGAAGCAACGGCUAACUACGUG